GGGGACGUAGCUCAGUUGGUUAGAGCGCCGCCCUGUCACGGCGGAGGUCGCGGGUUCGAGCCCCGUCGUCCCCG
rnacentral:tRNA from 1 species